UACCGCGUCUUCAUAAACGUAAAUAGACAUACGAAGACCCUCGAAAAACUUAACCAAGCUCCACCAAAGCAAGUCUUGUUAUCGAGUAAAUACUUACUAAGUACACAUUAUGUCCAAUAUCGUGGGGCUUAAGCCUACGUCGCGAAAUAUUAACGCUGUUUGUGCCUAUGCAUAUAUUCUGAUCACUUUUAACGAUGACCAAUGGUUUUUAGAUA